rnacentral:misc_RNA from 1 species
UAUCUCCUCCCCGCAAGAAAAUGGAAGAAGGAAUCAUGUAGAAUCUUGAAGCGUCAUGUGGUGACUGGUGCAGUGACCAUCAGGGGAAGGUAUUUCUGGUUUUUUCUCGCAUAACAGCUAUGAGCUCUGCUUCUCCUCUGCUCACCAGUCCUUCUCCUAUGGGUUCGUUCUUCCGAGCUCAGGCCUCUCCGGCUGAUGAUCGUCAAGAGCAUCUGUUGGCUGUGGGGGAUAUUGAAGCAGGUGGAGAUGAUCCUCAAAACAAGUUUCGAAUACGUGAUUUGACCAAGAAAUCCGAUGCCGGAGUAACUAUUCUCUCGGGAGUCAACUUGGACAUACCCAAGGGCGUCGUUGUUGGGAUCAUAGGCCCCAGCGGUAGUGGCAAAUCUACGCUCUUGAGGUCGAUGAACCGCCUCUGGGAGCCACCGUCCGGUACCGUGUUUCUUGAUGGCCGUGAUAUUCGGGAUCUUGAUGUUCUCAGCCUCCGCCGUAAGGUUGGAAUGCUCUUCCAGAUUCCGGCUCUGUUUGAAGGCACAGUCGCCGAUAACAUACGGUUUGGACCACAAUUGAGGGGGCAAAAGCUUCCUGACCAUGAGGUUCACAAGUUGCUUGCCCUUGCUGACCUUGAUUCUUCCUUCCACAAGAAGAAUGGUAAUGAAUUAUCUGUAGGUCAAGCUCAAAGGGUUGCACUUGCUAGGACCCUAGCCAAUGAACCAGAGGUAAAACCUGUUUGACAAUAUUGCAAUUUGUAUUCUUUUGGACUAUAUUAGCGAUGUUACAUUUGCAUUUUUUUUUUUUUGAAUGCUAGUAUAUGAACUUUCGAUUGAACUAAUAUGUGUAGUUCUUCUAAUUAUAUCCCACAUUUGAAAGGUUUUGCUACUAGAUGAACCAACGAGUGCAUUGGAUCCAAUAUCAACACAAAACAUAGAGGAUGUUAUUGUGAAACUGAAGAAGAACCAGGGAAUGACAAUUGUGAUGGUCUCUCACAGCAUCAAGCAGAUCCAAAGAAUUGCUGAUGUGGUUUGCCUCCUUGUAAAUGGAGAAGCUGUUGAAGUUUUAAAGCCUGACGAACUCUCACAAGCCAAGCAUCCCAUGGCACAAAGGUUUCUUCAACUCAGCUCUUGACUUUGUUGUUGUUGUUGCCUGUAUCUUAUCUUGAUGUUUCCAGCAUUCAAAAUAGCAGACUUUUUGAUGUAAUAUUCUGAGUAUGCAAAUUAUCAACCUCCACUGAAAGUAAUGGCAUUUCAGUUGGCAAGGUUUUACUUCGGUUUGUUAUCAUUCUUAAUUUCUGAUUACUCCUAUGCUGAAGAAGACUUCUGAUUCUUUCCUCAAUUGCGUCUUUGGAAUUUUCCAGUCUCUGAACUUCUUCAGGAUUGGGGUUUUCAAGCGUUUGAACUUCAGAAUCAGAGUUUUCAACUUUCUGAGCUUCUUCAGAAUUGAGAUUUUCAGGCUUUGGCAAAACAGAUGACAAUUCCAUGGUCCGAUCAUCACUUGCGGUGCUUGACAUUUGUUUGAGUUGCUUGUUCUUUGUUUCUAUUCCGGCUAGUUCAAGGAUGUCCAAAGCUUUUUGUCCUUUAUCAUUCCGACAAUCAAUGUCUACUGUUGAGUUCAAGAUGUACUUCGCGUGCUGAUGAUCUCCUCUGGAGAAUGCAAGAUGCAGUUUGUUGUUACCAUCCUGGUCUUGCUGGUGGAGAAGAUGAGAGAAAUCGGGAACCUGUGCCAAACGUUUGAUCACAUUAUAUCUGUUGAAUCUAACAGCAAGAUGAAGAACAGUUUCCCCAUCUUUUGUAAGACAUUGAAGCGAACUGGGAGAACUAAAAACGAAUGCUUCAAGGAUUGCUAAAUGACCAUUGAUCACUGCCAGGUGCAAUGGUGUGUAGCCAUGGUUAUUAUAUUGCAUAGCCAGAUCUAGAUCGGAGCUCAAUAGCAGUUUCGUUAUCUCAAGCUGUCCUUUGCUACAAGCACAGUGCAAUGGAGAAAAUCCAUUCUUGUUGGUUUUUCGAGCGAAAUUAGGCCUCAUUUCUAGUAUCUCCUCUACAAUAUCAUUGUGGCCUCUCAAGGUGGCCACAUGCAGAGGAGUUGAAUAAGCUGCAGCAUCCUCUUCAACUUCCAUCAACCAGGACUGGUUCAACAUAAGCUUCACCACACCGAGAUGCCCUUCUCUACAAGCAAUUAGAAAGGCGCUCUCGUUUUCAUGGUUGAGCUUAGUAGCCGCCAAAGGAUCGGUCUCCAAUAGCAACUUUACGACCUCAAAAUUCCCUUGAUGACAAGCUGCAUGCAAUGAAGUCUCCUGCCUCUUAUUCACUGCUGCAACAAAGUCGGGACGAAACUUAACAAUUUCAGCGACCAAUUCAUUAUGGCCUAAUCUUGAAGCCAGGUGCAAUGUUGAGUCCAAGGAAAUAGCUGAUCUUUGUUCAAGAACUCUUUUAUCCUGUUGAACUAAUCUUUUAAAGGCAAGUAUAUCAUUUCUCAAAAUGGCCUCUGAAAGCCUUGGAUUCAU